rnacentral:rRNA from 1 species
GAUGAACGCUAGCUACAGGCUUAACACAUGUAAUUAAGAUUAAAGAUUUAUCGGUGUACGAUGGGGAUGCGUUCCAUUAGGUAGUAGGCGGGGUAACGGCCACCUAGCCAACGAUGGAUAGGGGGUUCUGAGAGGAAGGUCCCCCACAUUGGAACUGAGACACGGUCCAAACUCCUACGGGAGGCAGCAGUGAGGAAUAUUGGUCAAUGGACGAGAGUCUGAACCAGCCAAGUAGCGUGAAGGAUGAAGGUCCUACGGAUUGUAAACUUCUUUAUAAGGGAAUAAACCCUCCCACGUGUGGGAGCUUGUAUGUACCUUAUGAAUAAGCAUCGGCUAACUCCGUG